GGCUCAUCCCAGAUGGCACCAACAGCUUCCUUUGCACAGCUGAGAGACAGGGCAGGGGUUGAGCUGUACAGGUAUCCCUGUCCCCACACUGCCCUGGAGCUUUGCUAUACUGUUCCAGUCAGUCCCAGGCGGUGCUGCUGUGUACUCUUUAGUUCAGCCCUCCAGCAGCUUCUGCUUCCACUUGACGAGACAAAACUUGUAACAGAAAGACCACUGUGUUGAGAUUGUUUUGGUGCCUGUACUGUGUGCGCUGUUUCAGUAUAAAGAUAUGCUCCUACCUACCUUCGAUAAAGGUUGGCCCGCCUUGCCAUCAUGCAGCAAACAAGGGUUCCUUUCCUUCUUUUACUUUUUGGUCCUGGGUAUUGAGCCCAAUGCCUUGCACCUGCCAAACACAUGCUCUGCCACAUGGCUCCAGCCUUGACACCCUCCUACCCUUGCCAACUCAACAAGUUUUUUCUUGCUCACAUCUUGCCAGUGCGGUGAAUGUCUGAUUAUCUAGGAGACCACCAAGCAGGUCUCUAGCAGUCCCUCCAGGCUGUGAGGGCCUGUGCACAGGUGGCCGUGGGAGCCUCUUGACCUUGGGCAAACUGCCCAGCUUUGUGAUUUUGCAGUACAGCACUCCAAUUGGAAAAUAGUUCUUUCACUAUUAUUUUGACCAAAAAAACAAAACAAAAAAAAAAAAC
rnacentral:lncRNA from 1 species